GGAGAAGAGCACAGCAUUCUUUUCAUGGCAGUUCCCUCUUCCAAUGCUACUGCCCCAAGGCUGAACUGCAAACCACCAACAGGGAAGCAAUAGACUGGCAGCAGGAGGUAGUAAAACAAUCCACUCUUCAUACAGCAAGCUUUCCUAGGAGCUGAUGAGAGGAUGCAAAAGGGAAGGUACUCAGGAGCUAUGAAGGUUAGCACAUUGCAAGACCCUAUGCAGACUGGAUUCACACAAAUUGACACGACGAGCACUGUUGCUCUCACUGCUGUAACAGGUAUCUCCUGCCAAGGAAGUGGGGGAGAAACGUAUAGCUCAAAGAGAUAGUUACUUUCCUGUUGAAUGAAC